CGCUAGCUACAGGCUUAACACAUGCAAGUCAGGGGAAACGACAUCGGAAGCUUGCUUUGAUGGGCGUCGACCGGCGCACGGGUGAGUAACGCGUAUCCAACCUGCCCACCACUUGGGGAUAACCUUGCGAAAGUAAGACUAAUACCCAAUGACGUCUCUAGAAGACAUCUGAAAGAGAUUAAAGAUUUAUCGGUGAUGGAUGGGGAUGCGUCUGAUUAGCUUGUUGGCGGGUAACGGCCCACCAAGGCGACGAUCAGUAGGGGUUCUGAGAGGAAGGUCCCCCACAUUGGAACUGAGACACGGCCCAAACUCCUACGGGAGGCUGCAGUGAGGAAUAUUGGUCAAUGGGCGAGAGCCUGAACCAGCCAAGUAGCGUGCAGGAUGACGGCCCUAUGGGUUGUAAACUGCUUUUAUAAGGGAAUAAAGUGAGCCUCGUGAGGCUUUUGCAUGUACCUUAUGAAUAAGGACCGGCUAAUUCCGUG
rnacentral:rRNA from 1 species